rnacentral:misc_RNA from 1 species
GUGAAUCAUCGAAUUUUUGAACGCAAAUUGCACUCUCCGGUUUUCCGGGAGAGUAUGCCUGUUUGAGGGUCAGCCUAAAAAAAAUCGACAUUGUUGCUGUUAUUUAAUGGUGACUUUCGUCGGAGAUUGGGUUAUCUUAAACCUUUUUUUUUUUUUUGUUUUAUUGACUUAAAAUUUUUUUUCAAUAUUUCAUUUAUGUUUCUAA